rnacentral:rRNA from 1 species
AGCGAACGCUGGCGGCAGGCCUAACACAUGCAAGUCGAACGAACCUUUCGGGGUUAGUGGCGGACGGGUGCGUAACGCGUGGGAACGUGCCUUUAGGUUCGGAAUAACUCACGGAAAGGUGUGCUAAUACCGGAUGUGCCCUUCGGGGGAAAGAUUAAUCGCCUUUGGAUUGGCCCGCGUCUGAUUAGCUAGUUGGUUGAGGUAAUGGCUCACCAAGGCGACGAUCAGUAGCUGGUCUGAGAGGAUGAUCAGCCACAUUGGGACUGAGACACGGCCCAAACUCCUACGGGAGGCAGCAGUGGGGAAUCUUGGGCAAUGGGCGAAAGCCUGACGCAGCCAUGCCGCGUGAAUGAUGAAGGUCUUAGGAUUGUAAAACUCUUUCACCGGGGACGAUAAUGACGGUACCCGGAGAAUAAGCCCCGGCUAACUUCGUG